AUUGAACGCUGGCGGCAGGCCUAACACAUGCAAGUCGAGCGGGGUUUUCGGACCUAGCGGCGGACGGGUGAGUAAUGCGUGGGAAGCUGCCCGAUAGAGGGGGAUACCAGUUGGAAACGACUGUUAAUACCGCAUAAUGUCUACGGACCAAAGUGUGGGACCUUCGGGCCACAUGCUAUCGGAUGCGCCUACGUGGGAUU
rnacentral:rRNA from 1 species